CGAAGGCCCUUGGGUCGUAAAACUCUGUCUUCAGGGAAGAAAAAAAUGACGGUACCUGAGGAGGAAGCCCCGGCUAACUACGUGCCAGCAGCCGCGGUAAAACGUAGGGGGCGAGCGUUGUCCGGAAUUACUGGGCGUAAAGGGCGUGUAGGCGGCCCGUGAAGUCAGGAGUGAAAACUCGGGGCUCAACCUCGAGAUUGCUUUUGAAACCAGCGGGCUUGAGUGCAGGAGAGGAAAGUGGAAUUCCCAGUGUAGCGGUGAAAUGCGUAGAUAUUGGGAGGAACACCAGUGGCGAAAGCGGCUUUCUGGCCUGUAACUGACGCUGAGGCGCGAAAGCGUGGGGAGCAAACAGGAUUAGAUACCCUGGUAGUCCACGCCGUAAACGAUGGGUGCUAAGUGUUGGGGGUAUCGACCCCCUCAGUGCUGUAGUUAACGCAAUAAGCACCCCGCCUGGGGAGUACGGUCGCAAGACUGAAACUCAA
rnacentral:rRNA from 1 species